rnacentral:rRNA from 1 species
AACUCGACUACAUGAAGCUGGAAUCGCUAGUAAUCGCGGAUCAGAAUGCCGCGGUGAAUACGUUCCCGGGUCUUGUACACACCGCCCGUCACACCAUGGAAGUCGGAAAUGCCCGAAGUCUGUGACCGAACCGAAAGGAAGGAGCAGCCGAAGGCAGGUCGGAUGACUGGGGUGAAGUCGUAACAAGGUACC